rnacentral:rRNA from 1 species
ACUCUAGUUGAUCCUGCUAGAGGACACUGCUAUCGGCUUGGGGAUAAGACAUGCAAGUCGAACGCCUCCGCAUCCGGAGGAGUGGCGAACGGCUCAGUAGUGUCGCUAACCUACCCUGUGGAGGUGGACACCGCCGGGAAACUGGCGUUAAUCCACCAUAUUUGAUUUGUUCUGGAAAUGAUAUGUCAUUGAAACGGAGCUCGAGGUACGUCGAGAUUUCCGCCACAGGACGGGGCGGCACCGGAUCAUACUUGUAAGUGGGAUAAGAGCCCACUUAGGUUAUGACCCGAACGGGCGAUGUAAGUCGUGGCCCGGAGAAGGGCACUGAGACAAGGGCCCUAGCCCCACGGGGCGCAGCAGUUACGAAACCUCACCAAUGCGCGAAAGCGUGAGUGGGCCAAACCGAGUGAUGGGAGAUAAUUCCAUCUGUGACGAUACCGUAAGAUGGUUCGUUAGAAAGGAGAGGGCAAGGCUGGUGCCAGCCGCCGCGGUAAAACCAGCUCUUCGAGUGGUGUCCAUGAUUAUUGAGCUUAAAGCGUUCGUAGCCUGUUUGGUAGGUCCCUGCUAAAAUCCGACCGCUCAACGGUCGGCCUGGUAGGGAUACCGCCUUACUUGGGAGCGGGAGACGGCAACGGUAUUCUGUAGGUAAGGGUGAAAUUCUCGCCACCUUUUGUGGCGAUAGCACAUUCUAAUGAUCUACAGAGGACCACCAGUGGCGAAGGCGGUUGUCGAGAACGCGUCCGACGGUGAGGGACGAAACCCAGGGGAGCAAAUCGGAUUAGAUACCCGAGUAGUCCUGGGCGUAAACCAUGCCCGUUAAGUGUUGCGUUCACCACGAGUGAUCGCGGUGCUGUAGCGAAAGCGAUAAACGGGCCGCUUGGGAAGUACGGUCGCAAGACUGAAUUUCCUCUAGGUUUGAGGAAGUUAGAGGUCUUUAUUACAGGAUGAUAUGUACACGAAGAUAUGGGUGAACGUUUUCAUAUCCGUGACUCAGAUACUGAAGAACGUGCUGAAGAACUCACUGCGAAAGUUCGAGCCGCCAUGAAACGGCGCGAAAUCAUACGCAUGGUGAAGGAAGAUGCUCGUUUGGAUGAGAUACGGCUUGAGAACCUCUCUAAGAUCGAGAUGCAAUCGCCAAGCGAACACGUCGGUUAUCUCGUUGGUGCCCUUAGAGAUGGCUCAGUCUUCUAUGACAAAGGUAGUCGCAACUACUUCACGAUAUUCUAUCAGAAACAUCGUGAGUGGCUGGAGACCUCCAUCGGAACACGUCUUAAGAUGUUAUUCAAUAGACACUUCCGGAUAGAGGAAUAUACUCCGGGGCACUACCGGCUUAAAUUAUCAUCUAAAAAAAUCUACACCAUGUGGAAAGAACAGUUCUCUUUUCCCGAGGACGGACAAGGUCAAGGAUCUUGGAAUGUUCCUGAGGAAAUCAAGAGAGAUACUAUCCACGUGAAAGCCUGUUAUAUCCGCGGUGUCUUUGAUACUGAAGGUGAUGUAUCACCUACAAGUAGCAAAACACCCUAUGUCGGAAUCAGUCAGAAGAAUGAAGUAUUCUUGACUGAAUUGAAAGACAUACUAUGUGAGAUGGAUAUACAUGCAGGCAAGAUACACAUCAUCGACGCAAAGAGUGAUACUCUUCGAUUUGCAAUUUCAGAUCGUCUAUCACUUCAGCGUUUUAUCAUGCUUAUAGGAUCUGAACAUCCUGUAAAAGCUAGAGACCUCUACAGAAUCCGAAGCCUAUUGGAUCAGUAAACUUAAAGGAAUUGGCGGGGGAGCACCACAAGGGGUGGAGCUUGCGGUUUAAUUGGACUCAACGCCGGAAAACUUACCUGCCCAGACAGCCGAAUGAGGACCAGACUGAUGAUCUUGUCCGACGAGCUGAGAGCUGGUGCAUGGCCAUCGUAAAUUCGUGCCGUGAGGUAUCAGCUUAAGUGCUGCAACGAAUGAGAUCCCCGUCACCUAGUUGGCAGCCGGAGGGUUCGCCCUCGCCGGGCCACACUAGGGAGACUGCCAUGGCUAACAUGGGGGAAGGAGGGGGCCACGGUAGGUCAGUAUGCCGCGAUAUGGGCAGGGCCACACGCGUGCUACAAAGGCAGGUACAAUGCGUAACAACGCCGAGAGGCGAAGUCAAUCGCGAAAGCCUGUCGUAGUUGGAAUCGGGGGUUGUAACUCACCCCCGUGAACCUGGAAUCCCUAGUAUCCGCGUGUCACUAAUCUUUGAAGAUUCGUCUUCGGGAGUGAACACGCGCGGAGAAUACGUCCCUGCUUCUUGCACACACCGCCCGUCGCUCCAAGCGAGCGGCUUUGGGGUGAGGCGCUGUCUUUACAGGCGGUGACGAAUCUCGGGGUCGCAAGUUGGGAGAAGUCGUAACAAGGUAUCCGUAGCGGAAGCUGCGGAUGGAUCACCUCCU